CUUCCGAUCUGGCGUCGAGCCGCCUAAAAGAAACAAAAACAGAAUGGGAACGGGUGAGAAAAGUCCAAUCGGUGUUUUCCACCCCAUUCCCGAGUCCGGAGAUAAACGCGUAAUCGCAAAUCGAAUAUUUAUGGAGCUGGCUUCAUUAUUGAUAGCUAACGUGUGACGGUUAUCGUUAGCCGGAAAACGCCAAUAAAGUCAAAAUACCGUCGAGGACGAAUGACGGCCUGUUAAACGCGGGGAUUUAGCCUCCCCCGACGGAUAUUUUCCUGGUGGGGAUGAGGCCGCCUAUCGUUCCCGCCCGUGGCCCGCAACCGGGAACAUGGGAAAGUCUAGCGGAUGCUGGGCUUUCCACCCGAUCUCGGACGGCGUAAACUCCAGAGCCCGGAUCCGGCCACCGACCGCGGAGGAAGGCGAGAAGAUUUGGACCGGGAAAUAUCGAGAAGGAGGGCGGGAGGAUGGAAACCGCCCGAUGAUCGGGCGGGCCAUCCCGCCGCCGAAGCGACGCGGUGGCUGGAAGUGGGGGAAGGGAAAGCGGCGUGUGGAUUGUCGCCCAUUUAAACCCUAAUCCAAUACUUAGCCGCCCGGCCAUAAAACAACAUCAAUAUUGACAUUAGAUCCGCCGGCGGGGGGCCAAAUCCCUACCGCUUCCGCCAUCGCUUUCAAAUUACC
rnacentral:lncRNA from 1 species